rnacentral:rRNA from 1 species
UACGGGGGGGGCAAGCGUUGUUCGGAAUUACUGGGCGUAAAGGGCUCGUAGGCGGCCAACUAAGUCAGACGUGAAAUCCCUCGGCUUAACCGGGGAACUGCAUCUGAUACUGGAUGGCUUGAGUUCGGGAGAGGGAUGCGGAAUUCCAGGUGUAGCGGUGAAAUGCGUAGAUAUCUGGAGGAACACCGGUGGCGAAGGCGGCAUCCUGGACCGACACUGACGCUGAGGAGCGAAAGCCAGGGGAGAAACGGG